rnacentral:rRNA from 1 species
CGCGAAAGACCUUACCAGGUCUUGACAUCCUCUGACAACCCUAGAGAUAGGGCUUCUCCUUCGGGAGCAGAGUGACAGGUGGUGCAUGGUUGUCGUCACUGUGUCGUGAGAUGUUGGGUUAAGUCCCGCAACGAGCGCACCCUUGAUUUAGUUGCCAUCAUUAAGUUGGGCACUCUAAGGUGACUGCCGGUGACAAACCGGAGGAAGGUGGGGAGACGUCAAAUCAUCAUGCCCCUUAUGACCUGGGCUACACACGUGCUACAAUGGACGGUACAAAGAGCUGCAAGACCGCGAGGUGGAGCUAAUCUCAUAAAACCGUUCUCAGUUCGGAUUGUAGGCUGCAACUCGCCUACAUGAAGCUGGAAUCGCUAGUAAUCGCGGAUCAGCAUGCCGCGGUGAAUACGUUCCCGGGCCUUGUACACACCGCCCGUCACACCGAGAGUUUGUAACACCCGAAGUCGGUGGGGUAACCUUUUUGGAGCCAGCCGCCUAAGGUGGGACAAAUGAUUGGGGUGAAGUCGUAACAAGUGUAGCCG